rnacentral:rRNA from 1 species
AUUAGUGGAUGCCACUAUAGAUGGAUCUGGAGAGCCAAGUUACCUCUCAAAAUUAAAAUCUUCCUUUGGCAAAUGUCGCAGGAUGCUAUGCUUACUAGACAGGUCAUGCGUAGUAGAAAAUGGCCUGGUAACCCUUGUUGCUCCUUCUGCAACGAGGUUGAGAGUUCACAACACCUGUUUUUCACCUGCCCUGUGGCGAAAUGUCUGUGGAGAUCCGUUGGGGUCAUGCUGGGUACCGAUAGAUGUCCCAGUAGUUAUUGGUAG